rnacentral:rRNA from 1 species
UACGUAGGUGGCAAGCGUUGUCCGGAUUUACUGGGCGUAAAGGGCGCGUAGGCGGCUUAACAAGUCACUUGUGAAAUCUCCGGGCUUAACUCGGAACGGCCAAGUGAAACUGUCAAGCUAGAGUGCAGAAGGGGCAAUCGGAAUUCUUGGUGUAGCGGUGAAAUGCGCAGAUAUCAGGAGGAACACCAAUGGCGAAGGCAGCUCGCUGGGACGUGACUGACGCUGAGACGCGAAAGCGUGGGGAGCAAACAGG